UACGGAGGAUGCGAGCGUUAUCCGGAUUUAUUGGGUUUAAAGGGUGCGCAGGCGGGCUUUUAAGUCAGCGGUGAAAUUUUCAGGCUUAACCUGAACACUGCCGUUGAAACUGAGAGUCUUGAGUAUAGAUGAAGUAGGCGGAAUUCGUUGUGUAGCGGUGACAUGCUUAGAUAUAACGAGGAACUCCGAUUGCGUAGGCAGCUUUCUAAACCAUAACUGACGCUCAUGCACGAAAGCGUGGGGAUCAAACAGG
rnacentral:rRNA from 1 species